CCUACGGGGGGCAGCAGUGGGGAAUAUUGCACAAUGGGCGCAAGCCUGAUGCAGCCAUGCCGCGUGUGUGAAGAAGGCCUUCGGGUUGUAAAGCACUUUCAGCGGGGAGGAAGGCGGUGAGGUUAAUAACCUCAUCGAUUGACGUUACCCGCAGAAGAAGCACCGGCUAACUCCGUGCCAGCAGCCGCGGUAAUACGGAGGGUGCAAGCGUUAAUCGGAAUUACUGGGCGUAAAGCGCACGCAGGCGGUCUGUCAAGUCGGAUGUGAAAUCCCCGGGCUCAACCUGGGAACUGCAUUCGAAACUGGCAGGCUAGAGUCUUGUAGAGGGGGGUAGUAUUCCAGGUGUAGCGGUGAAAUGCGUAGAGAUCUGGAGGAAUACCGGUGGCGAAGGCGGCCCCCUGGACAAAGACUGACGCUCAGGUGCGAAAGCGUGGGGAGCAAACAGGAUUAGAUACCCUUGUAGUC
rnacentral:rRNA from 1 species